CUUCACUCUGACCCUCAAAACUCUAAUAAUAAGCCCCAUGAAAGAUCUACCGAAGGAACAAGCUCCAUGAAGCUUCUGAAGAGUGGUGGGACUUGUCCAAGUGGUUUGAGCCUGAGUAGUUCAAUGGCACUUGCCGGCAAGGUCGGAACGGUGGUGGUGCACACCCCGAGCAUCUUUGAAUUUCUAUUUUUUCUUUUGUAGUUUCGCUUUUUUCUUUUUAAUCUUUAUUCCGAUUUUAUUUGGAACAAAAUGCCCCUCAACUCUGGCAGCCGGAAAAGUCGAGUGCUUGCUACUUUCGGCCCUCUUUUGAGAAAAAGUUAAUGUUGCUGAAGAAUCUUAGGCAGUAAGGGUUGCAGAAACCAUAGAAGGGCUCGAGAAAAUCAUCAAAGAAAAGGCCACGGAGCACAUGGUAGAAGAAAGUGAAUGACAAGGAGCAAGAAUCUGAACCCCAAGAAGUGGUAGGGACUGUAGAAGGAGAAAUGGUUGAAGUAGCAGAUGGAAAGGCGGAUAGUGAAAAAGAAAAGAAAAAGGGCGAAGGUAAGAAGGAUGAUGAUAAUGAAAGAAUUUCCUUAAAUUUUGAACCUGCCGUAUGUCUUCCUAAUGCUAAGUAAUGACAUAACUUAUGCGGAUUUUCAGAUCUUACAAUGUCAUGGCAUUUUCAUCUCUUAGCUAUCUGAAAAAGAAGAUAAUUGUUUAGUUACUGAGGAUGUUUUCCCAAAGGUUAACACUCUAUUUUACUCAACUUAUCCUUCAAAAGUCAUGAUGAUAAGUUAGUCUUCGUUAUUAGUCAUCAAAACCGUUCUCUGUUUCUAUAGAAGAACUCGAUGCUAUGCUUAGUCUGCUUUUCUUUCAAACAAUUCCUGCUAAAUCUUCCUUGGCUUACAAGUUCAUCAUUUAGGAUGAAUUCUUUUGAACGAGGUCUCAUUCCUAGUUUCCUUUAAGAAGGAAGUCUAAAGCCUUAUAGUGUGUCAAACUGCUCUAGAAAUGAUAUUUCCAAGUAUGAAGCAAGACUUUUGACCCAAAAAAAAAAAAGGAACGAAACAAGGCUCAUUUCGCACCUAUCCUAACCAGUUUUGAAUUCAGUCUUUCACAUUCCAUUUUCAUUCACAUGUACCGGACAAUGGUUAGAAAUCAGGAAAGCUUCCCUACGGUGGUCUGAGCAUGAAAAUUCUCAGAAAACAGUGAGCGGUAAUUCCAGAGGAGCUACAGACGGAAAAAGUGCCCAUUGCCUCUGUAGGCAAGAAACAUCGAGGAAGAUGCACCUCAAGCCCACAACUGUUGGGUGGGUUGAUCCUAAGGGGGAGACUGUGAGAGUGGAAGGAGAAGAUGAGAGGGUGAAUGCUGCUUGAAGAGAAGAUGAAUGGAACCGAGGGCAAUUUGAGUAAGAAGAGAAAGUAGAAGCAAGCAAAGAAUGCUGCAGAAGCACCUAUGGUGCUGCGAAAGGGUAAGAGAAAGGGAGAAACAGUGGAGGUUGCUCCAUCUCCAGCGAAAAAGAGGCCAAAGAGUCAGGGUGAGUCAAGUCAGAAUGUUGAAAACUCUGGGAGGCUUGAGUUAUUAAUGUAACGGUGUUAGAUGGUCUAAAGAGUUGCAGGAGAAUGCAAUAGCUUUUGAGAGACAGCUAAAGCUGUUCAGAAGGUAGACUUUCUACAGAAGAUGGCGUGUGACUAACAGAUUCAGUCUCUUUCGUGCUUUGAUGUGACCAAGUUUACCUUCAGCAAACCCAUCUCCAAACCUCCCUAAACCUUGCUUGAAAAAGGAAGAAAACAUGAUACUUUUGAAAUGAGAAAGCUUAUGUGUUUGUCUUUGACUCUAUCAGUUUCUGUUUCCUUUGUCUUUAGUCGUAGAACAAUCGGGAUCAACAAACUGUUGUGAAUUGGGUGUUUUUACUCAUUUCAAUGUAGCUGUAUGUUCUAUCCUGACUCCUCUUGGUUAUUCAACAAACUACAUGUUUGUUGCCUAUUAGCAUAUACCUUGUGAAUUACAUCGUUUACAUCAUUACACUCUCAUCUGUUGCAUCCACGGAAGUAGUCAAAUCUGCAGAUGUAGGCAUUGAGUCUGCAGAAGCACCAAGGAACAAGUGCAGGACCACGUCGAAACUGCAAAAAUGGGGUAAUCCGUGUCGAAUCUCGUGCUCGCCGACAACAUCCAGAAAACGGAUGUGCUUAAAACUUUAUAGGUUCUUUAUGCUCUAACUUGUUUAGUUUACGUAAUUAUGCGUCGCUUCUCAUAAUUGAGCUUCAUGUAAAUUAAAUAACAUUGUAGAAGAAAGAGCUGUUACAAAUUUAUGUAUCUUUUGCAAAA